rnacentral:rRNA from 1 species
UACGGGGGGUGCAAGCGUUAUCCGGAUUUAUUGGGUUUAAAGGGUGCGUAGGCUGUGAGGUAAGUCAGCGGUGAAAUGCCCCCGCUCAACGGGGUGAAGUGCCAUUGAUACUGCUUUGCUGGAAUGCGGAUGCCGUGGGAGGAAUGUGUGGUGUAGCGGUGAAAUGCAUAGAUAUCACACAGAACACCGAUUGCGAAGGCAUCUCACGAAUCCGCUAUUGACGCUGAUGCACGAAAGCGUGGGUAUCAAACAGG